rnacentral:hammerhead_ribozyme from 1 species
AUCCAGCUGACGAGUCCCAAAUAAGACGAAACUCGUGUCAAACUGGAU